GAUGAACGCUAGCGGCAGGCUUAACACAUGCAAGUCGAAGGGCAACGGGGAGAGUGCUUGCACUCUCUGCCGGCGACUGGCGCACGGGUGAGUAACACGUAUGCAACCUGCCCUCCACAGGGGGACAACCUUCCGAAAGGGAGGCUAAUCCCGCGUAUAUCCCUUGGGGGCAUCCCCGGGGGAGGAAAGGAUUACCGGUGGAGGAUGGGCAUGCGGCGCAUUAGGCAGUAGGCGGGGUAACGGCCCACCUAACCGACGAUGCGUAGGGGUUCUGAGAGGAAGGUCCCCCACACUGGUACUGAGACACGGACCAG
rnacentral:rRNA from 1 species